CCUUGUUGGUGAUUCAUGGACGCUUCGUUCAAUGUAAAAACCAGGCUGCUUUGGAGGCGGCAAGACAUCACCACUGCUCAACAUCAAAACCACAGAUGACAUGCUUGGUCUAUCCUCAGGUCCAAAGCCACCUUCUCCCAGCUUGUUGCGGCUUGAAAAGUUGUCAGUGGCUUUAACUAUGGUGGUCAAGUCAAACAGUGGUAACUCCAUCUCUUCCCCGUCUUCUCCGAGGUACUCGUCACUGCAAUCCUUUCUUCUGUGUCCUGAAAUAGUAGGAGAUCUCUUCAGCAUGGAUAAAAAGAUGCGAACAGUUAGCUACACUAUCGAAAUUAAAUACUACCUUAUCUAAUGCA